UAUUUUUGUGAAUAAUUACAAAUUUUCAAAGAUCUUUUCAAAUUUGAAAUUAAACCCUCAAGGUCGGGUUUAUAAAGAAACCGUUUCACGCAGUCCUCGCGUCCAUUCAUCUCCUCACAUAUUUUUCGUUUUCAAUUUUUCAUUCCCCACCGAAAAAAACUCUGCCGCCACGACGAUCACUCCUCUGCCGCAUUCGUGAUCAAGGACCUGGUCGUGGACAUGAUGAACUUCUACACAAAUUUAAGAGAAUUUAUGGUCCUCCGUAAAAUGAAUCACUCAAAUAUCAUAAAGUUGAAAGAGGUUGUUAGAGAAAAUAAUGAACUAUUUUUCAUUUUUGAAUACAUGGAUUGUAAUCUUUAUCAAUUAAUAAAGGAGAGAGAAAAGCCCUUUUCAGAGGAAGAGACAGGGUGCUUUAUGAGGCAACAAGGACUUAGUCACAUGCACAAGAAAGGAUUCUUUCAUCGGGAUUUAAAACCUUGUUAGGCAUAUAUAUGAUUUCAUUUAGCAAAUUUCUGAUGGUAUAUUAUGUUUAUACUUUCCAGUUCAAUCUGUCUAAAAAGUCAUAUGGAUCUUGAUCUUUUGGGAAUGUUUUCUGCUAUACUGAGAAUUUACUGGUAACAAAUGAUGUUUUGAAAAUUGCUGAUUUUGGACUGGCUAGAGAAGUAUCAUCGAUGCCUCCAUAUACUCAGUCUGUUUCCACACGGUGGUAUUGAGCUCCGGAAGUUUUGUUGCGAGCCCCUUGUUAUACUCCUGGUGUUGGUAUGCAUAAGUCUUCUUUUUUUUGUUGCGAGCUGGUGUUUAUUUUUGGGAGCUAUCAUGGAUUGGUUUUGGAGGCAAAAGUUAAAAUUUGUAGUUUCUGCUUCCUUAAUCUGGUUUUUGCAUGGGGUCUCCUAAAAGCAAACCCCAACACUAUUUGCAUGAGAUCCUAGUCCUUCAACGAAAUUUAUUUGUAUAAUACAUUUCUUAUACCGUAUGGGUUAUCUGAGUGCACUGAAUGCUCAUAAAUACCCCUCCUAAAAAUAUUAGGACAUUAAAACAUAUCUCUUAUAAAGUACUCAAGUGUUUGACUAGGUCAAAUACUCUUAUCACCUUUUCAUUUAAGGUGAUCUCUCCGCAUAAGUAUUCAGGUGUUCGAUUAAGUCAAGUAUAUAUCCAAAUACUCUAAAUCACCUUGUCACUCAAAGUGAUCUUUUUGCAUAAGUAUUAAGUAUUCGGCUAUGUCAAAUAAGAUAAGAACAAAGAGGAACUUUGAUAUUUCAAAAGUAUCACUUUCAUCUUACUUUUUCCACUCCAAGUGAAAAAAAAGGUGAGAUAAAAGGGAUAUUUUUUUACUUUAGUUGAGUGCAUAUUUUUGUUCUACUUUUUUCAGAAAUCUCAGGAAUACUAAUUUCAGCGAUGUAUUAAAAAAAUAACUAUAUUACCAAAAUUAGUUUUCAUGUUAUUUUUUAUUCAUUAUGAUGAGAAAUUAGUUUCA